ensembl:lncRNA
UGUGGAAACAGUGGGUAGUUACAACCUGGGUCUGUGGUAAGUGUGUAGUAAUGGCCUUGUGUUCCAAUCCAAAUACUGUAGGUCAAGUCUUCUGCACCCCUGACCUUUUUAGAGGACCUGACUAACUUGUUACCUGGCCUCACAGCAUUAGAAGCCGUAAUGGCACAAAGUCUGGGGGGAUUUUCCUCAAGGAACCGUUCUAGGGAUGAAUAAAUGACAGGCUUGCACAAACGCAGCUUGACGGGUUUCCAAAAAAUGUGCUUUAAUUUGAAGCGCCACAAGACCACCGCUUAAUAAGCUUUGUAAGCAAGCACUGCGAGAACACUUAGAGCAGUCUUUGUGCAUAACUAGACAAUAUUAUGCACCCGUUUUGUAUUAUUUUUUUAUUAAUAGAACUGGGUUUGCCUGGCAGGAAGGAAGCGGGAGUGAAAGUUGACAUUGUCAUGGAGGACGCCACAUAAAACAUGUGAUCUUUAAUACAAUCAAGUUAUUUUAAGUAGCUUUCAAUGGGAACAGUAAGUCUUCUAACAGCAGUGUGUUUGGCAGCAAGGUUUGUGUGUAUGUAUAUGAAAUGUAUGUUAGCCUUCAGGAAAGAGGAAGUGAAGAUCAUAAAGUGCACGUGCCAAGAGGUGGGUGCACGCUACAUCAACCAGGUUAAAGGACACCCCACCCAUAUUAGUCCCUAGAGUGCGUGUCUAGCUGUCUGUUUCGUGUUUUUUUGUUUUUUUUGUCUUCAUGAGUGUCUUGUGUGUUCAAGUGCUUGCAGAUGUUCAGAUGUUUACUUGGGGGGGGGGAAGAGACAGCACCCAGCUAGCACAUUUGGGUCCUUGGAGGUUGUGAGAAUGUGCAUUUUUGGUUUCCCAAUUUGUUUUGGGAACAAAGCCAUAAGUUUCCUAAACGGUAAGACUGAAUGUUUUAAAAAAUAUGUAUUUUUAAAUGUUCUGAGAACGGAUGUUGAUUUGAACUAUCCCCACCAGAUGCGUUCAUGAUAUGCAGGUUAAAAUUAAAAUACCAAUAUAUUUGACAGGUCAAAACACAAAUGAAACAUUCAUGGACAUUUAGAUUGCUGUUGCUAGCUCAUUUGUCAUGGGAGAUUAAUU